UACAGAGGUCUCAAGCGUUGUUCGGAUUCAUUGGGCGUAAAGGGUGUGUAGGUGGCGCCGUAAGUCGGGUGUGAAAUUUCGGAGCUUAACUCCGAAACUGCAUUCGAUACUGCGGUGCUUGAGGACUGGAGAGGAGACUGGAAUUCAUGGUGUAGCAGUGAAAUGCGUAGAUAUCGUAAGGAGGACCAGUGGCGAAGGCGGGUCUCUGGACAGUUCCUGACGCUGAGGCACGAAGGUCAGGGGAGCAAACGGG
rnacentral:rRNA from 1 species